GAAGACUUAAAAAGGGGAAAUGUGGGUGCUGGAGAGCAUAACUGAUGAGGAGGACUCUCCAGCUAGGGAACUGCUUUCCAGCUCCUGGACCACCUCAUAUCACCAGCACCCUCUACCCAAGGUCCUGGAGCCAACACUGGAGUAAAAGAGCACAAGAGAACUCCUUAGAGGUGGAAGGAUACCCUCUGAGGUCAAAUCAUUGGGCUUGUGGCCAUGAGACCACAGACUUUGCCUGGCUUCCAGUGACUGUCCGAGAUGACCUGUGGAGUGCACCGCCUGUACUUGGACAUCACUGUCUUUUCGGAUCCAUACCCGUCAUCCUUGGAAUUUCCCCUGCAUCCAAACCUGUUCCUGAUACAGGUAUAACCCUAAGGAAUAUCUUGGAUGUCUUCACGGGGCUUAUGACUUAUUCUGAGGUUUACAAAAUAGAGGCCCCCAGCUGAGCAAAGAGAGGGCUGCAGCGCCGAGGGAACAGCUGCCGGACUCACCGGAGAGGCCUCCUGGAGCACGCCGGGACCCCCUCCACCCCCUGGCUUUGG
rnacentral:lncRNA from 1 species